rnacentral:tRNA from 5 species
GACUCCGUAGCUCAGUUGGUAGAGCAAUUGACUCUUAAUCAAUGGGUCGAGGGUUCGAGCCCCUCCGGGGUCACCA